rnacentral:rRNA from 1 species
UACGGAGGGUGCAAGCGUUAUCCGGAUUUACUGGGUUUAAAGGGUGUGUAGGCGGACUUUUAAGUCAGCGGUGAAAUCUCCGGGCUCAACCCGGAAACUGCCAUUGAUACUAUUGGUCUUGAAUGUUGUGGAGGUGGGCGGAACGGGUCAUGUAGCGGUGAAAUGCUUAGAGAUGACCCGGAACACCGAUUGCGAAGGCAGCUGGCUACACAUAUACUGACACUGAGGCACGAAAGCGUGGGGAUCAAACAGG